rnacentral:misc_RNA from 1 species
GUUCAUCAUAACACAACCAAAAGUGGCGCCAUUGGCGACCACCACGCGCUCUGGCUGCACAAUAAUGGUCUUGCCCUUCUUGAGCUGCAGUGAGUACCCGACAGUGCUGGUGUCAUUGAAGAUGGGACCAGCAAAGAGGUAGGCAUCAGCCGACUCGACUAUCUCAGCACAGAAUGCAGUACCGACAGCGCCCCAGUAGGUGCCAAUGAAGUGAGGAUGUUGCUCUGACACCAUCCCCUUGGCUGACGGCAUUACAGCUACAGGAUAGCCACAAGCAUCGGCUAGCUCGACAAAGGCCUUUCCAGCCUUGGCGACACGGAUCUUAGGGCCGGCUACAAGAACUGGCUUGACGGCCUUGUUCAAGAACUCCACAGUUGCCUCAACAGCAGCUUCCAGGCCUUGUUGGCUCGAUAUUUUAGGGGAUGGACAAAAGGGGACGGGCUCGCGGCUGAAGAAGGAAUGUGACACACCAGGGAGAUUGCAUCCGAUGCAGAUGUAGACGGGCUUGCUCUCCCUGAGAGCUGUUGAGAUGGCAGUGUCGAUCUGUUCGUGAGCGUCCUCAAGAUUGUUCACAACAGUCUGAAAGCACGUAACCGGCUGAAAACACCGCAGCUCCUGCGACAAAUCCGACAGCCCGAUCGUAUGAUGCAGUAUCCGAUUCUUCCCAUAAUCAUUCGUAUUCGGCCCUCCCACGAUGCAAAUCACCGCCAAAUUCUCACUAUACGCCCCCGCGAUCGCAUUGAGGAUACUUAGACCGCCGACGGUGAAAGUGACGACGCACGCUCCGACGCCGCGAUAUCGGGCGUAGCCAUCGGCAGCGUAUCCGGCAUUGAGCUCGUUGCAGCAGCCGACGAGGUUGAGACCGGGCUCGGCGAGGAGGUAAUCGAGGAGAGUGAGGUUGAAGUCGCCGGGGACGGAGAAGACGUCAGAGACGCCGACUUCGACUAGGCGGCGCGCGAGGUGGCGGCCGAGGGUGGCUUCGAUGGGGACGGCGGGGGUAGAGGGACUCCCGACGACUCCUUUGGCGGGUUUGGGAGCGCCCUCGACGAAUCCUGUCUGAGUUUCCA